GCAACGUUACAAAAUAGAGAACACCCAAUUGAGCAAGAGCUCACUAGACAAGGCACAGGGAAUCGCCGCAACAGGAGCGACAACACCGCACGCCCACGCACACAGCCAGAGAGCCUUGGAGUACGCCCUAACCUCCCCCGCACAAACAGUGAUGCGGCGCUAGAACAACAACACCGCAACCCUCUAGAGACUGCGGAGCAUCUCAAUCCCAUAAACAGAACCAAAAAACACAGAAAAAAUAAAAAU
rnacentral:lncRNA from 1 species